AACUGGACACCAGUGGCAACACAUUUACCCCGUGUCCAUUGGCUGAGUGCUACUGACUGAAAUCGCUGGCUCUACCUCAGUUUGCAGCAGCAAAGUGUCUGGUCUUGCUUGGAACUACUUGAGAAAUGGCACUUACUGUUCUUAUCCACAUUCUCACCUUAUGAAAUCUCUGAGUGUGUGCCAAAGUAUCUCAUGGCUUACCUCCCCCACAAGGGUGGACAGAUUUAGGGAAGCUCUAAACAGCACAGAGAAAGACCAUGGUUUGCUCUCCUGCUUUUGCUUAGCUGGCCAACAGGUGAAUCCUGAAUGAACAGGUCAGCUCAGGAACAAGAAGGAUCUAAAGAGAUCAAAAUAACAGCUUGUACGUGGUGAGAAAGGAAAGACCCAAGAGAUGGCAAAGGGUUCCCACCAUUUCAUCUGCCCAGUUUUUUUGGUAUUGUUUGAAAAAAAGAAAACAUCUCAGGCAGAUGUUAUUUGUUUGCAGCCAUGCCAUUCUUAAAAUACACAAGAAAUAUACGAUGAAGACCAGCAGUGGAAAAAAACACUACAGCAUACACUUGAAUAUACAAAGUAUUAUUUUUAACUGCUUUCCCAAAAGGACUGUGAUUUUAAUAAUAAUCUGCUUUGUUGAAGCAUCUCUCAGAUGAGGACCUCAAAUUGUGGUAGACAAAUUGUCUCAACAUGUCUGUGGAAUAGCUCAACUCAAUGCACUGAUGCUAAGAGGCUGAAAUCCCUGUUCCUGCAGCUUGCCUCUAUGUAAGAAAUUGUCAACAAGUCAUAUUUUCUGGGGCUGUCUUUCACUGGAUCAUUUCUUUCACCCUGUGGACCAUGCGGCUGCACAAAUGCUUGAGCUGACACCAGCAAAAGGGCAGGUUCAGCUAAUGAGUGACUCAGCCUUAUAUAAGAAAAGUCUGGAUGGGGCAUAAUAAAUCAGAACUGACUGUGGCCAUGCUCAGCACUUCUAAGGAUCAGGCCUGCACAAGUCACCUCAAAUUAAAAUUCCUUGUCUGAAAGCAGCUCUGGAAAGUCAAUGGCAAACCAAUCUGUUACGAAGAAUAUAAACACCUGGCAACAAACGUAGACAAGAGAGGGUAGCAGUGAAAUGCAAAGCGCCGUUCAGAGGAUCCUGCAACAGGCUUCACUCUUGGUUUCUGCUUGCUUUCUCUCUCUGGAGAGCAGAUGAAUGUAUCUAGUGAAACGAGGUUCCUAGAAAGAAGCUCAAGUUCCAGAUGGCUGAUACCACGCAAGCACCAGCUGUGAGGAGAUGUUGAGACCUUUGUCAAGCAAUACCAAGGAGCAGCCAGUAGUCACCUGGGCACUGGAAACAUUUUCCAUGACACCAAGAGCUCACAACUCUACGAGAGAAUGCAUGGCGGUCUCUAGAAGGACUUCGUUUUUCUUCAAAGGACGAUUGUUUUGCUGUGCCCACACCACUGCGAUGGAGCUGCACCGAUGAAAUAGGGGCUUUGUGAGCAGUUCCUCGUCCUGGGUGAGGAGGAGCCUCCUCUGCAGCCGUGUGAAAGCUUAUCCUCACUUGGAUGGCGAUCAGCAUGCCUCGGUGGAUGGAGCGUUGGCCGCCUGUGUGUCAUUAAGGAGCUCGAAGAGUCAAUUCAGUCCAGACAGUAAACAAUGAAUUGCUGACACUUUCGGCUCUGCUGGGGCUAAAGAAUACCAGCGCACACAUCUGAGCCCUAUCAGUGGAAACACACAAGGAUUAGAUUCUUUUGGUGACGGCUGCAGUUUUAUUGUGAAUAAUCUGAUGGGAGCCUGAUGGUGUCCAACACAUCCAUUCUUGCCUUGUGAUUCUUUUGCCAUCUGAAAUGUUGUUAGUUUUAAUGACUUAAUUAUCCUUUAUAUUUUCAGUUAGAUGUGUGGGUUGUGUUGUUUUUUUCUUUUUUUUUUCUUUGAGUUAUAAUUAGUUUCCCUGAGAGGCAGCAGCUUUAAUGCUUGGUUAGUUUUCUGAGAAGCUGGGACUGAAAGAAUCUUUUGGGAAAUGACAAUUACAUGUCCAUGGUUUUUAUUUGGUAUGCUUUAUUUCAGUCUUUGUCUGAGCUGAAAGCUCUUGUUGACUGGCAGAAGAUGGAUUGAUUCAGUGAAAUUAAGCAAUUUCAGUCCUCACCCCCCCCCCCCCCCCAAAAAAAAAAAAAAACAUACAAAGAACUUGUAUGUUGACUGAAAGUAAAGUGAAUUUCUUUUGCUGAAUUUUUACAAAGUACUUAGCUGGGGAAAAAAUGCACACCCCUUCCCCCUAUCCCCAGGGCACCGAUUGACCCUGACGUGAUUUUUUUUUUUUUUGCUGAACUUUGCUGGAAGUUUAUCUCAACAGAAAAUUUCGUAAAAGAAGUGUGUGCUGUGCAAGGGAACAAUAACCUACGAAGCAAGAGCAGCAUAGAUUAUUCGUUAUCAAG